rnacentral:rRNA from 1 species
GAUGAACGCUAGCGGCGGGCUUAAUACAUGCAAGUCAAGGGGUAGCAAUACACCGGCGUACGGGUGCGUAACGCGUAUGGAACCUGCCCUUAUCUGGGGGAUAACUCGGGGAAACUCGAGCUAAUACCGCAUAAGAUAGUAGAAUGGCAUCAUUCAGCUAUUAAAGAUUUAUCGGAUAAGGACGGCCAUGCGUAAGAUUAGAUAGUUGGUGGGGUAACGGCUCACCAAGUCUACGAUCUUUAGGGGCUCUGAGAGGAGAAUCCCCCACACUGGCACUGAGAUACGGGCCAGACUCCUACGGGAGGCAGCAGUAGGGAAUAUUGGGCAAUGGGCGGAAGCCUGACCCAGCCACGCCGCGUGCAGGAAGAAGGCCCUCUGGGUUGUAAACUGCUUUUGAUUGGGAAGAAAGCAUCUCAUGCGUGGGAUUUUGACGGUACCAAUCGAAUAAGCCACGGCUAACUACGUGCCAGCAGCCGCAGUAAAAC